UACAGAGGGGGCAAGCGUUGUUCGGAAUUACUGGGCGUAAAGGGCGCGUAGGCGCCUUCUAAGUCGAACGUGAAAUCCCCGGGCUCAACCCGGGAACUGCGUCCGAUACUGGAAGGCUUGAAUCCGGGAGAGGGAUGCGGAAUUCCAGGUGUAGCGGUGAAAUGCGUAGAUAUCUGGAGGAACACCGGUGGCGAAGGCGGCAUCCUGGACCGGUAUUGACGCUGAGGCGCGAAAGCCAGGGGAGCAAACGGG
rnacentral:rRNA from 1 species